GAAAUGCGAUACGUGAUGUGAAUUGCAUACUCGUGAAUCAUCGAAUCUUUGAACGCAAAUGGCGCUCGGCCGCUUCGGUGUGCCGAGCAUGUCUGUUUGAGGGUCAGUUUCACCUGCUUUCCUCUCCUUCAUUGUUUCACAAUGAGUUGAGGAAGACGAUGGGAUCUCACCAGUUUCCCACCAGAGACAUAGUGAUUUCCUGAAACGCAUUUUAUUUAAUUUUAAAUCUAAUGGAAAGACAAGUUCCGAGGUCCCGACCCUUUUUUCUAAUACAAAUUAGACGGGACCGAUCGCAGCAAUGUGACCGGGCAAACCUUUCUCUUAACAACAAAAACAAAACAAAAUGACCUCAAAUCAGGCAAGAGCACCCGCUGAACUUAA
rnacentral:misc_RNA from 1 species